rnacentral:rRNA from 1 species
UCGAGCGGAUGACGGGAGCUUGCUCCUUGAUUCAGCGGCGGACGGGUGAGUAAUGCCUAGGAAUCUGCCUGGUAGUGGGGGACAACGUUUCGAAAGGAACGCUAAUACCGCAUACGUCCUACGGGAGAAAGCAGGGGACCUUCGGGCCUUGCGCUAUCAGAUGAGCCUAGGUCGGAUUAGCUAGUUGGUGGGGUAAUGGCUCACCAAGGCGACAAUCCGUAACUGGUCUGAGAGGAUGAUCAGUCACACUGGAACUGAGACACGGUCCAGACUCCUACGGGAGGCAGCAGUGGGGAAUAUUGGACAAUGGGCGAAAGCCUGAUCCAGCCAUGCCGCGUGUGUGAAGAAGGUCUUCGGAUUGUAAAGCACUUUAAGUUGGGAGGAAGGGCAGUAAGCUAAUACCUUGCUGUUUUGACGU